rnacentral:rRNA from 1 species
CGCGGCCUAUCAGCUUGUUGGUGGGGUAAUGGCCACCAAGGCGACGACGGGUAGCCGGCCUGAGAGGGCGACCGGCCACACUGGGACUGAGACACGGCCCAGACUCCUACGGGAGGCAGCAGUGGGGAAUAUUGCACAAUGGGCGAAAGCCUGAUGCAGCGACGCCGCGUGAGGGAUGACGGCCUUCGGGUUGUAAACCUCUUUCAGCAGGGAAGAAGCGAGAGUGACGGUACCUGCAGAAGAAGCGCCGGCUAACUACGUGCCAGCAGCCGCGGUAAUACGUAGGGCGCAAGCGUUGUCCGGAAUUAUUGGCCGUAAAGAGCUCGUAGGCGGCUUGUCACGUCGGAUGUGAAAGCCCGGGGCUUAACCCCGGGUCUGCAUUCGAUACGGGCUAGCUAGAGUGUGGUAGGGGAGAUCGGAAUUCCUGGUGUAGCGGUGAAAUGCGCAGAUAUCAGGAGGAACGCCGGUGGCGAAGGCGGAUCUCUGGGCCAUUACUGACGCUGAGGAGCGAAAGCGUGGGGAGCGAACAGGAUUAGAUACCCUGGUAGUCCACGCCGUAAACGUUGGGAACUAGGUGUUGGCGACAUUCCACGUCGUCGGUGCCGCAGCUAACGCAUUAAGUUCCCCGCCUGGGGAGUACGG